AGGGAAUUUUCCGCAAUGGGCGAAAGCCUGACGGAGCAACGCCGCGUGAGGGAAGAAGGUCUUCGGAUCGUAAACCUUUGUCAUCGAGGACGAUAAUGACGGUACUCGAGGAGGAAGCCCCGGCUAACUACGUGCCAGCAGCCGCGGUAACACGUAGGGGGCGAGCGUUGUCCGGAAUUACUGGGCGUAAAGGGCGCGUAGGCGGCCUAAUAAGUCAGAUGUGAAACCCCCGGGCUCAACCCUGGACGUGCACUUGAAACUGGUCAGCUUGAGUGCAGGAGAGGAAAGUGGAAUUCCCAGUGUAGCGGUGAAAUGCGUAGAUAUUGGGAGGAACACCAGUGGCGAAGGCGACUGUCUGGCCUGUAACUGACGCUGAGGCGCGAAAGCUAGGGGAGCAAACA
rnacentral:rRNA from 1 species